GACGAACCGUGCGAACGUUGUUCGGAUUCACUGGGCUUAAAGGGCGCGUAGGCGGGUAUCCAAGUCAGGGGUGAAAGCCCGGAGCUCAACUCCGGAACUGCCAUUGAAACUGUUUAGCUUGAGGAUGAGAGAGGUGAGUGGAAUUCCCAGUGUAGAGGUGAAAUUCGUAGAUAUUGGGAAGAACACCGGUGGCGAAGGCGGCUCACUGGCUCAUUACUGACGCUCAGGCGCGAUAGCGUGGGGAUCAAACAGG
rnacentral:rRNA from 1 species